AUUGAACGCUGGCGGCAGGCCUAACACAUGCAAGUCGAACGAGUGGCGGACGGGUGAGUAAUGUCUGGGAAACUGCCUGAUGGAGGGGGAUAACUACCGGAAACGGUAGCUAAUACCGCAUACUAUCAGAUGUGCCCAGGUGGGAUUAGCUUGUUGGUGGGGUAAAGGCCCACCAAGGCGACGAUCCGUAGCUGGUCUGAGAGGAUGACCAGCCACACGGGAACUGAGACACGGUCCAGACGCCUACGGGAGGCAGCAGUGGGGAAUAUUGGACAAUGGGCGAAAGCCUGAUCCAGCCAUGCCGCGUGUGUGAAGAAGGUCUUCGGAUUGUAAAGCACUUUAAGUUGGGAGGCGUUACCAGCAGAAUAAGCACCGGCUAACUUCGUGCCAGCCGCCGCGGUAAUAC
rnacentral:rRNA from 1 species